rnacentral:rRNA from 1 species
GACGAACGCUGGCGGCGUGCCUAAUACAUGCAAGUAGAACGCUGAAGACUUUAGCUUGCUAAAGUUGGAAGAGUUGCGAACGGGUGAGUAACGCGUAGGUAACCUGCCCACUAGCGGGGGAUAACUAUUGGAAACGAUAGCUAAUACCGCAUAACAGCAUUUAACCCAUGUUAGAUGCUUGAAAGGAGCAAUUGCUUCACUAGUAGAUGGACCUGCGUUGUAUUAGCUAGUUGGUGAGGUAACGGCUCACCAAGGCGACGAUACAUAGCCGACCUGAGAGGGUGAUCGGCCACACUGGGACUGAGACACGGCCCAGACUCCUACGGGAGGCAGCAGUAGGGAAUCUUCGGCAAUGGGGGCAACCCUGACCGAGCAACGCCGCGUGAGUGAAGAAGGUUUUCGGAUCGUAAAGCUCUGUUGUAAGAGAAGAACGUGUGUGAGAGUGGAAAGUUCACACAGUGACGGUAACUUACCAGAAAGGGACGGC